GUGCUGCUCAUGCGGUGGAGUGUCGAGACCAUUAGACUCUGUGUUACUGUUAAAAUAAAGGGAAAUAUGCACAUAUAGUGACCUGGAAGUCUCUCUUAGUGUGUCGUGAGGGUUGUGUAUUGUGCAGAGGGAACUUUUAACUUCUGUCGAGACGCAUGUGGAGAAAUCUGAUCGACACUAGAUCUCGAAGCAGGGGAGAGAAGUACUCUGAAGGCCUUUUGAGUGUUUCCAGGCCGAGUGUGAAGCAGUAAGAAGGGAAAUGGGGUUCAUCAUUUGCUGUGGAAGUGUGUACAUGCUAUAGAGGGUGGUGAUGAACAAAUGAGAUCCACUAUCGUUGUCUAUGUUAGUUAGAUUCCUGUAAUUGAUUUGUUAACGUGGUGACUGAGAACAGAAAGGCAAGAGAGACUCAGUUUGAUAAUAAGAAAAACACCUUGAUUUAUGUCACUCAAUUUAGCAAGCUUUUCUGUCUAACAUUCUAAAUUUGCAUAGUUAACGCUGCGCUGUUCCAAGUGAAGUCUGGAAUAAAUGACCUCUUGAAUAAUUUAUGUUCCUGUGUCCAGUGCUGUCAUUAACACUCACACCGGGUCACAUAUAUGCUGCAUAUAUGUGUAUAUAUGCCACAUAUAGGCAACAUUGAGGUGCAUAUAUGUGCAUACAGGCCAUAUAGGUCUCCUGUAUUGCUUCUUUAUAUCCACAUAUAAGCCCUAUAUGUGCAUACAAGAUAUGUCUCCUAUAUAGCUCAUGGCAGGAUCUGGUCAUUUUGUAGCUCAUAUCUCACUUUGGCAACUGUCAUACAUGAUGCCUAGCUCAUAUUUUCUAUUAUCAAGGCAAUAACUAAGAACUAACUAAAAAAAAAAAACUAUGCAAGAACUUAUGCGAACACGUGAAAUUGGUAUCACAUGUUAUUUGCAUGUUAUGGAAUUUAACUAUGGCAAUUAUGUGAGAGGAGAGGGAAAGCUAUGUCUACAUGUUUUCCUGAAACAUUUACAAGGUCAAUUCUUUCUUGUAUGAAGAUAGUGGAAAAGAAGGAAAUAACAAAAUGGUUUGUCGUUUUUAUUAUUUUGUCAAUCAAGCCUUUUUUCCAAUUUCAAGUCACUUCCAGAUUCACAUUACAGCUCAUACACAUCCACACAUUCACCAUUACAUCCACCAAAUGCAAUGCAAAAUGCAAUGUUUUCUGUAUUGUCUUAAUGCAGUUUCUAGAUGAAUAUGGCUGAAAGGUCAUUACAGUCUAAAUGUAGCAAAAAAAAAAAAAAAGUGCAUAGAACAUGCAUUCAAGUAAUCAUCAUCAUCAUCCCACAUCUAUCUGAGCAUUUCACUGUGGUUAAUGAAUUUGAAGACAAUGUCAAUGUCUCUGCGUCUUAUUUCCUUAACGUUAUAAAUACUGAUAAGCCCCAACUCAAAAAAAUGAAAAUUGGUUGUUGUUGGUCCAAAGAAUGUAAUUAUGUUUAAAUUAAAUAAUGCUCUUACGUUUGUGUAUUAAAAUUAAAACAGUUGUGUUGACAAAAUUAGAAAAAGUGAUAUUUCCCAUGCAGUUGUGUUGCUUCUGCAGUACCGCACUUUGGUCAGCAGAUGGAGUUAUAUCUGCACAUGCGCAGAUGGAAAGCACAUCCAACGAUCAACUUUGAUCCUUCAGCUCACUCAAAGUCCCUCAUCGCCAUUUUGUGCAGCCAAACAUUUCACAAUCAACGUUUUGUCUUUGUGGACGCAGAGAGUUUUGGAGUUCCUGAUUCCUACAUGUGGCUGUGCAGAGAUUGUGGCUCAUCUCACAUAUCAAGAUCAAAGCUUUUAAAAUACUUCAGCACAUUCAAUUCACAUAAGAGGCGAAAACAUCAUUUCUCAACCCAGCUCCUCAGGAUCUUCAGAAAGAAAGGAGGAACAGCAACACAGAAGAUGACAAACAUCCUGUCAGUUAUGGAUCAGAAUGACAUCAUCGAAAAAAACGUGAAUGCAUCUUGAAAGCCCUUACUGUUUACAUGAACGAAGACCCCUCAAACCUUAUGAAGGAGUACUUGGACGUUGAACAUGAUGAAGGCCAAACUUCAAUGCGAAACACCACCCUAGGCAUUUAUGUCAUCGUACAUGAAGGGGCAGAUGCUACAGACCCUUACGAAGAUGUUGGCAUUAUCAUUGAAGGCGUCCAAAUACUUGAAGACCUGAACAAUGUGGCAAAUGCUUGUUCUGUGAUGCUUGGUCUAAUUUACACUUUAAACUUGGCUUACCCACAAGACCUGAGGUACACUUUUGAAGUAUUUAAAAAGAUUUUUAUGGAGCUAGAUGCAUACAAGCUGUCAAACAAGGUCCAGGUCCUGAAAAAUAAACUCCUUUCAGAAACGCUGUAACUUGAGGUCAGGACCAAGAGCCAGGAUUUAUGUUUUCUCCAUAAUGUUGCACUGUUGUUUGGCUGUUGCAGUACAUAUAUUUAUGUACAUAAUACUGUUUUUUUUUUUUUUUUUUUUGUUCUUGUGCAAUUAAAAGGAGGCACACGAAGCAAAAGAAGACCGCUAUUAUUUUUUAAGUAUAACACUUGUAUGUGAAUAUUUUAUAAAUCCUUUAAUUUAAAGACAGCUUGCUUUUAUUUAUUUUUAUUUUCUUGUAAUAAGCAGAUUCUUUUCAUUUUGAAAAGAAAAGUUAGUCUUUUGAGAUUACAGAUUUUCAGAAUUGUUAUUGAAUGGAUUCAAUA